AACGAACGCUGGCGGCAGGCUUAACACAUGCAAGUCGAACGCCCCGCAAGGGGAGUGGCAGACGGGUGAGUAACGCGUGGGAACGUGCCCUUCGCUUCGGAAUAGCCCCGGGAAACUGGGAGUAAUACCGGAUACGCCGUAUUGGGAAAGAUUUAUCGGCGAAGGAUCGGCCCGCGUUAGAUUAGCUAGUUGGCGGUGUAAUGGACCACCAAGGCUACGAUCUAUAGCUGGUCCGAGAGGAUGAUCAGCCACACUGGGACUGAGACACGGCCCAGACUCCUACGGGAGGCAGCAGUGGGGAAUCUUGGACAAUGGGCGCAAGCCUGAUCCAGCCAUGCCGCGUGAGUGAAGAAGGCCUUAGGGUUGUAAAACUCUUUCGCCGGAGAAGAUAAUGACGGUAUCCGGAGAAGAAGCCCCGGCUAACUUCGUGCCAGCCGCCGCCGUAAAAC
rnacentral:rRNA from 1 species